AUAAAAUGGAGUUUAACGUAAUUAAAUAGACCAAUGUUUUUUAACAUAGGAAAAUAGUUCAUUAUAAUCAACAGUUAAAUGUUGUUGUUAUUAAUUGCAAUCAGAUUUGAUUUUAUGAGGUUAAAUUAAGCAUUUCAGUUCUGGGCCAAGGCCAAGGCAUUUAACAUUUUUUUUUUAAAGUUGCAUGGAAGAUUAUAUGUAGCAGUGAUUGUCACACACUAGGUGUGGUGAAAUUAUUCUCUCCAUUUGACCCAUCACCCUUGAUCACUAUGCUAGUAAACCUUUUCUUAAUUUUAAACAAGACAGACUAGAGUUCUUCAAAUUGUUUAUACUUUUUCUCAAAUACAAAUAUUUCAAGCUGAUAAGCACUGUGGACUUGGCAUGUUACUGAUAUUGUUACAUUACUACUUUGUUUGAGAAGCUUCAUGUCUGCAUUGAGCCUAAAUUUAACAGUUUUUGAAGGGUUUAGUUCUUUGUUUUAUUUCUGUGUCACUGACUUUUUUCAUUUUUAUGUGUGGAUUUGUUAGGCGCAUCAACACAUGAUAUAGACAUCGUGCCCAAAAGAAGAGCGAGACGUAAUCCUGAGGCUGAAGCCACCGAGUUUAUUUGAUCUGGAUGUGACAAGUCUUGUUUUAAGGCCCAGUGGAUCAAUGAUUGGAAAGACACCAACUGUUGAUGUUCUAUCUCAACAUUCUCCAGAUUCAUGUGAGCGAUAAACCGACUUCAUCCCUCCAACAGACACCAACUGUUGGGGUUCUAUCUCAACAUUCUCCAGAUUCAGAUGUGAGCGAUAAACCGACUUCAUCCCUCCAACAGAAACCAACUGUUGAGGUUCCAUCUCAACAUUCUCCGGAUUCAGAUGUGAGCCAUUAACUGACUUCAUCCCUCCAACAGAAACCAACUGUUUGAGGUUCUAUCUCAACAUUCUCUAGAUUCAGAUGACAGCCAUAAACCGACUUCAUCCCUCCAACAGAUUGACAGCAGGAAAAAAUCGCUGGAAGUGGGUAUGUCUCAAGCUUCUUCCACUUGGUCCACUCCAAAGCGGGCUGCAAAGGGGAAGAAGUGGAAGGAGUUGAAUGACACAUGUUGCAUUUUGUAACUGGCAACAAAGUACCAGGUAAAAAAGAUUGUGAAGCCUGCCUCCAUAAAGAACUAGUAGCUCUACAGGACAGAGAUUGGCUUGCCAUCAAGUACUACAUCCAUAACAGAAUUAUAUUAAAAAAAGGGAAAAAAAAUGUUUUCCCACAUCUUCUGUGGUAGUUUGAGUAUGUUACCAGCAAUUAAAAAAGCAAAAUAAACA